ACUCGGGCGGUGCAUCGGGUGGUGCUUCGGGUGGAGCAUCGGGUGGACACUCGCACUCGGGCGGAGCAUCGGGUGGAGCCUCGGGCGGAGCAUCGGGUGGACACUCGCACUCUGGCGGAACAUCAGGUGGACACUCUAACUCUGGUGGACACUCGCACUCGGGCGGAGAAUCGGAAUCAUCUGGCGGAACAUCUGGCACAUGUGAUAUUGUAUGUUUGAACGGUGGAACGUGUUAUACUACUAGCAAUUCAAAAAGCUUUUGUCGUUGCCCUUUUGGUUUCAUCGGACCAACUUGUAAAAUAAUUGUUGGAUACUGUCCUUGCAUAGUGUCACAUGGUACCGGUAAUAGAUCUGAUCAUCGCUAACUUAAGCACCGUUGACAUUUACUGUCCGAGAAAGCCAACAAGUGUUUUACACUGUUUUGCUAACUUCUUGAGUCACAUAUUUUGUAUAGGAAAUAAUUGAUUUUAGGCUAAAAUAUCUGGAACACAUUAUAUUAUUAUUCGUAUAAGGAUAUUAGUAGGCACAUGUCCUUUUUUUAUAUUAAAGACCUUUAGGCUUAAAUUUCUAGCUGUUAGCAUUGACCCAGUUAUUAAUUAAUGCUUUCUUUUAAUGGGUCGACGUCCAAGCAGAUAUUAUAAUAUUUGGUAUUUUAUCAAACUUAAAAAAAGAUCAUUUAAUUUGUUUACAAAAAUACUGAUAUUGUUUAGGUUAUGGUUGGACUUUGCACUCAAGAAAACGAUGUUACAAACUUCCAUAUGCUACAUACAUACUGAUUACAUGAAACCAUAGUAUCGGUGAUGAAACGUCUGCAUUGUAAAUCGUUCGUUAUGGUAUUUUUUAUAAUAAAAUACUAAACCUUUAAAAA